rnacentral:rRNA from 1 species
AUGGCGGGAUCCACCACCCGGCCGAUGGUGGCUAGCCUGGGCUGCUCCUCGCCACGACGUGGAGGCAUGGCGGCGACCCUAAGGGCGAGCCUAGUGGAAGCGCGAACAGCGACUGAGGAGGCAGUGAACGAGGUGGUGCUGCGGCAGGCUGCGCUGGUGGAGGACCUGCAGGGGCGCCCGGUGGCACGGGAGGCUGAGGCGAGCGGGACGAGCAGCUGGAGCAGGACGGCAACGUCGAGCUCAGCUGGGGCCUCCUCGGUGAUGCCUACGACCGCUGCAGCGAGGUCUCUGCCGAGUACGCCAAGACCUUCUACCUCGCUGAGCCCCUCACUCGUCACUCACUACUCUGUAACUCUGAUGAUGCUAAUCUGUAGUAGUUAA